rnacentral:rRNA from 1 species
AUUGAACGCUGGCGGAAUGCUUUACACAUGCAAGUCGAACGGCAGCACGGACUUCGGUCUGGUGGCGAGUGGCGAACGGGUGAGUAAUGUAUCGGAACGUGCCCAGUCGUGGGGGAUAACGUAGUGAAAAUUACGCUAAUACCGCAUACGAUCUAUGGAUGAAAGCGGGGGAUCGCGAGACCUCGCGCGAUUGGAGCGGCCGAUAUCAGAUUAGGUAGUUGGUGGGGUAAAGGCCCACCAAGCCAACGAUCUGUAGCUGGUCUGAGAGGACGACCAGCCACACUGGAACUGAGACACGGUCCAGACUCCUACGGGAGGCAGCAGUGGGGAAUUUUGGACAAUGGGCGCAAGCCUGAUCCAGCCAUUCCGCGUGCAGGAUGAAGGCCCUCGGGUUGUAAACUGCCUUUGUACAGAACGAAAAGGUUUCUACUAAUACUAGGAGCUCAUGACGGUACAGUAAGAAUAAGCACCGGCUAACUACGUGCCAGCCGCCGCCGUAA